rnacentral:lncRNA from 10 species
CAUUAAUUUAUAAUAUAUAUUUAUUUAUAAUAUAUGUGUGUAUAUAUACGCAUAUAUACAUAUGUAUGUAUGUCUAUAUCUCUAUCUUUCGGGUUGUUUUGAGAAUUAAAUGACCUAACCCAUGUAAAGCCCUGUGUACCGUGCCUGGCAUGUAGGAUACUUCAUCACUGUCACCUGUUUUUGUUGUUAUGACCUGAGCAUCUCCCUGUUCACCAGCCCUUGUUCUUUAGCCACAGGUUGAAGAUGACAGUAGAUCCUAAGGAACCUCAGUUCUAUCCCGAAAUGCGAAGGCCUUUUUACUCAACCACAAAGAAGUGGUCAGCAGAAAACUGGUCAUCCCGGCCUCUGGGGCCAUGCACAGCACUCAGGAGGAGCUACUAUUUUCCCUGCCUGUUUACAUGCGGCCUGGGGCCUUGUGGGCUAUUUGAAAAUUAGGACACGAGAAGUCCAAGCAGCACCUGGUAAUUAAACUGAGUCCUCUAUCAGAGAGAGGCGUGACCUUGAAGGGCAUCCAUACAGGAGCCAGGGGCAAAGCAGAAGGUGGGAGGGAUUCUCCAGGCUUGACCCUCUCAGCACAUCUCAGUCAGGGGUGCCUGGCAGCCUAGAUUCCAGCCCUGCCCAGUGCCACCCAGAGACCUGAGGGAGGUGGACAGCUGCUCAGCUGGGUGAUGGGAGCCUCUAGAAAUAGUUGUCAACCUCAUCAAACCAGAGAUGAGCCCUUAGGACAGCCAGGGUGUUGAUUUCCAGCCAGGCAGGGCAUUGGUUCUCCAGUGGGAUGUGGACAAGGUUCACUGCAGCCUCUCAGCAGAUGAACUAGGGGAGAGACACUACCCCAACCAUGCUCCCCCGACCCUUCGGUGUUAAGUGAAAGUAUCUUCCUUUUUUCUCUCUGCUCUCUCCGCUUUACAACAAAAUAUUAUCUUUAGUCUGCAAAACCAGGGCCAGGAAGAAUCUUCACAGCUAGACAGGGCCAUGGAAAGAUGAUGAGGCAUAUCAGGAACUAUGUAAUCUUGUAAUACUUCUGCUGCAAAACCUCCUGACGUUCUGAAUGAACAGUCACAUGCAGCCUCUUCAGUGCAAAACUGAGCUCAUAAGAAAGUAAAGCAAAUCUGUAGGGGCCAAAUGAAGAGUGAACUGGAAGUCAGAGCUUCAAGUACAUGACUGAUGUGGUGUAUCCCUUGGGGAUGGGGGUGUACACGCUGGUUUUGGGAAGCAGGGCACUUGGGUUUGAAAGUUCAUCCAGGACAUUUGUGUGACUCUCAGUUUUUGAAUAUUGGUGAAUAGUGCUGCUUAGAACAUUCUGGUAUGUGAGUUUUUGUUGCACAUAAGGUAUUUAUGUUGAACAAAUAUUUAAGAGAAAAAUUAUUGAAUUUAGGUAUGUAUAACCUCAGAUUUGGAGAAUACUGCUAAACAGUUUUUCAAAGUUGCUGUUCAUUUUAAAUAACAGCAUAUGGGCCAGGCACUAUUGCUCAU